UGGUACAUGAUGUUUGCAAAAUACCCCAGUUGAUCGAUGUUUGCAAAAGUGUUAUAUGUAAGAUAUGUCAUUUUUACUGUUCUAAUCUAUCUAGUCUUCUUGGUUACAUUAUGAUUGGAUGUUUGUUAAUCUGAUGCCAAGGUAAGAGAACCACUGACUGGUGGAGAGAUGGUAAGAAAGAAAUAAAAUUGCUGAUCAACAAAGUAGCUAUGGCAGUUUGGAUUUCUCAUGUUGUGAGGCAGGUGUUUAACUCAGAUGUGGGUAGCAACAAAGAUUUUAUUUAGCUCUCUACCCUCUGACAUCCCUUACAUGCUUCUUUUUACUAUUUUAUCUCUAUUGUUCUGCUAUACACCAUAUAUUGCCCCAAAAAGUCAUCAAUUAAGAUGAUAAAAUGCUACCCUGCUUUUAAA